CCGCGUGCAGGAAGACGGUCCUAUGGAUUGUAAACUGCUUUUGUACGGGAAGAACAAGGAGUACGUGUACUCCUCUGACGGUACCGUAAGAAUAAGGAUCGGCUAACUCCGUGCCAGCAGCCGCGGUAAUACGGAGGAUCCGAGCGUUAUCCGGAAUUAUUGGGUUUAAAGGGUCCGUAGGCGGGCCAUUAAGUCAGGGGUGAAAGUCUGCGGCUCAACCGUAGAAUUGCCUUUGAUACUGGUGGUCUUGAGUUAUGGUGAAGUGGCUAGAAUAUGUAGUGUAGCGGUGAAAUGCAUAGAUAUUACAUAGAAUACCGAUUGCGAAGGCAGGCCACUAACCAUGUACUGACGCUGAUGGACGAAAGCGUGGGUAGCGAACAGGAUUAGAUACCCUGGUAGUCCACGCCGUAAACGAUGGAUACUAGCUGUCCGUGUGCUUCAGGCAUAUGGGCGGCCAAGCGAAAGUGAUAAGUAUCCCACCUGGGGAGUACGGCCGCAAGGCUG
rnacentral:rRNA from 1 species